CACAGGUUCAAACGGUCUCACUCGACUGAUUUUAUUGUAGCUUGAUAACGUCCCACAGGUUUAAACGGUCUCACUCGACUGAUUUUAUUUAAUGCUCGUUAAAGCAACAAUGAGGAUUUACAGCACUAUUAAUAGAUUUUAAACACAUGUAAGAAGGUUAUUUAUGCAACAAAAGGUCAUACACUGGAAUUAAUAUAUUUCUAAAAGCAGCAAGAAACUGAUUCACAAAGAGUGUAGUUUUUCAGCUGUUAUAACAAGAUAUAUUAAUCUUAAUUUUUACUGCAAUAACCAAAGCAUUCAUUUCAACACACUUACUACUUGAGAUAAUUUUUGUGACAGAUCGCUUUAUGAAGAAUUAUAAAAUAAUCAGAAAGUAAUGAUAUACUUAGGUAACACAACAUUCUCAGGUAACAAUAUACAUAGGUAACAUUCCAGACAAUCUCAGUUUUUAUACAUUAAAAUAAAAAUUAUAUAGUUUCUCCUAACAAUAAAAAUGUGAGAAAAUUGCCAUAACAACUAACUUCAAGAAUGACAAAUCUCCAAAAAAAAAAA